GAUGAGCACCUUGAAAGGCUGAAAAAUGUGCAAUUUGUUCUUGGAAAAGAUAUCUUGAUUUGUGAUUUGAACAAAUAUUUAUCUUGCACAUUUGAUCCUGGUCUUUUAGUGUUUAUUUUGAGUAUACAGGAAAGACAGGUUCAGCCUCUAAGAAUUGAAAGCAUUGACCGUGCCCAACAGCCUGAGUUUUGGAGAAGCUUUGUUGAAACCGGCUACCUUGAUGCCAGCGACAGAGGUUCAGUCCAAGAACGAUAUCGCAACAGUACGAAGGUCUUUUGUCUUGAAUCCAAUUUUAAAAGAAAUCCAACUCAUCAAGGAUUCACUGAGGCUUGGAAUCGCAUGAAAAUCGUCACGGAUGAAGAAGUUAUGAAUUUACCAAACCGGAGGUUCUUCAGUCCAUCUAUCCGCGAGUACCAGAUUUCUAAAGGAGAUUCAUGCCCCAUAAAGAAUCGGCCUGAGCCAAAACCGAUCCUCCUUGAACCAAAGGUGUUUCCUCAGUCAUUCUCCUGUCUAAACCAAAAGCACUUUAAGGAUCAUGAGUUGAUUGCCUCUACUCUUCAUGAAAAUGUUUUGAAACCGAGAAUUUCAAAAAGAAAACAUAUUCUUACUUGGUUGAAAAACGUUUUGCUCAAACCUUUUCAUGAAUUGAUUUCAUUGAGCUGUGCUUUGAAAGAGAUUUGGUGUAGGAAAAAGCAUGAACUAAAAUUUCUUAGGCCAAAGAAUUCUUUUGAUUUCGUUCAUGAUGAUAAUUUUUCAAAUUUGGCAUUGUCUCUUUCUUUUCCUGACCGUUUAUCAGCUUGGCCUAAUUUUAAAAUUGAUAAACCAAUUUUUGGUGAUCAGCUUACUUGUUUGAUGCUUGCCCACGUGCUUGAUGAUUAUCCUAAGGGCUUGGAUCCUGAUCUUGAUGUCCU
rnacentral:lncRNA from 1 species